GUACAUUUGGGGAAGGGCCGGAGCUCAGAGGCAGAGCACAGCUUUCCAUGCAGAAGGGCCCGGGUUCAAGCCUCAGCAUCUUCAGGGCUGACUCAGAAUGUUCCUAUUUGCCCAGGCCUUUGUGGGAUGCCAACUUACUCAGCAUAACUUGGAUUGUUGUUGUUAUGUGCCUUCAAGUCGACUGCCACUUAUGGUGACCCUAUGAAUCAGCGACCUCCAAGAGCAUCUGUCAUGAACCACCCAGUUCAGAUCUUGUAAACUCAGAACCCGUGGACAUCCAGUGAAGCUGAAUGCUGGAAGAUUCAGGACAGGCCAAAGAAAGGACUUCUUCAUGCAGCACAUAGUUAAACGAUCGCAUUCGCUCCCGCAAGAGGCAGUGAUCACCACCAGCUUCGAUGGCUUUAAAAGAUUAGACAAAUCCAUGGAGGAUAAGGCCAUCAGUGGCUACUGGCCAUGAUGGCUGUGCUGUGCCACCAUAGUCAGAGGCAGUAUGCUUCCAAAUACCAGUUAUUGGAAACCGCAGGUCAGGAGAGUGCAAUUGUGCUCAGGCCUGCUUCUGGGUUCAUCUGCUUGGCCACUGUGAGAACAGGAUGCUGGACUAGAUGGGCCACUGGCCUGAGCCAGCAGGGCUCUUCUUAUGAUUAAAGAUUGUUUUGAAGUGUAUUUAUGAUUGUUUUUAAAAAAUCUGCUCCCAUUUGUAUAAAACCCAUUCCAGAAUCAGCAACAAUGA